rnacentral:rRNA from 1 species
GAUGAACGCUUGCGGCAGGCUUAAUACAUGCAAGUCGAACGGUAACAGGGUCUUCGGACUGCUGACGAGUGGCGGGUGGGUGAGUAACGCGUAUGCAACCUUCCUCACACCGAGAAAAAGUCGACUGAAAAGUUGAAUAAAGUCUCGUGGUGUGCAUUUCUCGCAUGAGAGAUGUAUGAUAGAAGCAAUUUGGUGUGGGAUGGGCAUGCGUAUCAUUAGCUAGUUGGUAAGGUAACGGCUUACCAAGGCGACGAUGAUUAGGGGGCCUGAGAGGGUGGUCCCCCACACUGGGACUGAGACACGGCCCAGACUCCUACGGGAGGCAGCAGUAGGGAAUAUUGGUCAAUGGGCGGAAGCCUGAACCAGCCAUGCCGCGUGAUGGAUGACGGCCUUAGGGUUGUAAACAUCUUUUCUGCUAGAGGAAUAGAGUUCACGCGUGGACAGACGACUGUAUAGCAGGAAUAAGGAUCGGCUAACUCCGUGCCAGCAGCCGCGGUAAUACGGAGGAUUCGAGCGUUAUCCGGAUUUACUGGGUUUAAAGGGUGCGCAGGCGGGCUCUUAAGUCAGCGGCGAAAUGUCUGGGCUUACCCUAGGAAUUGCCGUUGAUACUGGGAGUCUUGGAUAAGCAUAAGGACGGCGGAAUGCGUAGUGUAGCGGUGAAAUGCUUAGAUAUUACGUAGAAGACCGAUUGCGAAGGCAGCUGUCUGGGUCUUUAUCGACGCUCAAGCACGAAAGCGUGGGGAGCAAACAGGAUUAGAUACCCUGGUAGUCCACGCCGUAAACGAUGAUCACUCGCUCUUGGCGAUAUGCUGUCAGGGGCCAAGCGAAAGCGUUAAGUGAUCCACCUGGGGAGUACGGCCGCAAGGCUGAAACUCAAAGGAAUUGACGGGGGCCCGCACAAGCGGAGGAACAUGUGGUUUAAUUCGAUGAUACGCGAGGAACCUUACCUGGGCUAGAACGGCAUACGAAUUAAGAGGGAAACCUUUUAAGCCUUUAUGGCGUAUGUCGAGGUGCUGCAUGGUUGUCGUCAGCUCGUGCCGUGAGGUGUCGGGUUAAGUCCCAUAACGAGCGCAACCCUUAUCGUCAGUUACCAUCAAGUAAAGUUGGGGACUCUGGCGAGACUGCCGGUGCAAACCGUGAGGAAGGUGGGGAUGACGUCAAAUCAGCACGGCCCUUACGUCCAGGGCGACACACGUGUUACAAUGGGUAGUACAGAGAGUUGCCAGCCAGCGAUGGUGAGCUAAUCUAUUAAAUCUACCCUCAGUUCGGAUUGGAGUCUGCAACUCGACUCCAUGAAGCUGGAUUCGCUAGUAAUCGCGCAUCAGCCAUGGCGCGGUGAAUACGUUCCCGGGCCUUGUACACACCGCCCGUCAAGCCAUGAAAGUCGUGGGUGCCUGAAGUUCGUAACCGCGAGGGGCGACCUAAGGCUAACUCGAUGAUUAGGGCUAAGUCGUAACAAGGUAGCCGUACCGGAAGG